GUCAGGAUGAGCUCUGCGCCUAUCAGCUAGUUGGUGAGGUAAUGGCUCACCAAGGCUUCGACGGGUAGCCGGCCUGAGAGGGUGACCGGCCACACUGGGACUGAGACACGGCCCAGACUCCUACGGGAGGCAGCAGUGGGGAAUAUUGCACAAUGGGCGCAAGCCUGAUGCAGAAACGCCGCGUGAGGGACGACGGCCUUCGGGUUGUAAACUUCUUUUAGCAGGGAAGAAGCGAAAGUGACGGUACCUGCAGAAAAAGCGCCGGCUAAUACGUGCCAGCAGCCGCGGUAAUACGUAGGGCGCAAGCGUUAUCCGGAAUUAUUGGGCGUAAAGAGCUCGUAGGCGGUUUGUCGCGUCUGCUGUGAAAACUGGAGGCUCAACCUCCAGCCUGCAGUGGGUACGGGCAGACUAGAGUGCGGUAGGGGAGAUUGGAAUUCCUGGUGUAGCGGUGGAAUGCGCAGAUAUCAGGAGGAACACCGAUGGCGAAGGCAGAUCUCUGGGCCGUAACUGACGCUGAGGAGCGAAAGGGUGGGGAGCAAACAGGCUUAGAUACCCUGGUAGUCCACCCCGUAAACGUUGGGAACUAGUUGUGGGGUCCAUUCCACGGAUUCCGUGACGCAGCUAACGCAUUAAGUUCCCCGCCUGGGGAGUACGGCCGCAAGGCUAAAACUCAAAGGAAUUGACGGGGACCCGCACAAGCGGCGGAGCAUGCGGAUUAAUUCGAUGCAACGCGAAGAACCUUACCAAGGCUUGACAUAUACGAGAACGGGCCAGAAAUGGUCAACUCUUUGGACACUCGUAAACAGGUGGUGCAUGGUUGUCGUCAGCU
rnacentral:rRNA from 1 species